AGAUUGAACGCUGGCGGCAUGCCUUACACAUGCAAGUCGAACGGCAGCACGGGCGCAAUCCUGGUGGCGAGUGGCGAACGGGUGAGUAAUACAUCGGAACGUGCCCAAUCGUGGGGGAUAACGCAGCGAAAGCUGUGCUAAUACCGCAUAAGAUCUACGGAUGAAAGCAGGGGAUCGCAAGACCUUGCGCGAAUGGAGCGGCCGAUGGCAGAUUAGGUAGUUGGUGAGGUAAAGGCUCACCAAGCCUUCGAUCUGUAGCUGGUCUGAGAGGACGACCAGCCACACGUGGGACUGAGA
rnacentral:rRNA from 1 species